rnacentral:rRNA from 1 species
UUUUAUGGCCAAAAUACCCUAAAAGCACCAGAUCCCUUUUGGGCUUGGAGGGUAAGCGGGACAGCCCUGGUAAGUAUUUGGUUGAGAGACUACCAACAAAUACCAGGUGCUAUAUGCU